CCCAACCCAUUGCCGCCCCACACAAACGCCGGAUCCCGCCUCGAUGGUCGUCGGAUUCGCGCGGGAUUCACGCCAGAGGCACAACCUAUCUCCCUCCCGCUACCCUCCGGCAAGUGGCACAGAUCUCCUCCCCCCGCACCUACCUGGCGACAAAUCCAGGCGGAGCCGGCCCUGCCGCGCCACCAGGCGACAGGAUCGAGCACCGGUGACCCCUCCCCCUCCCGCGUGUUGCGUCCGCCACCGGAUCCACCCUCCCCACCGCAUCCCUUCGGUGCCGGUGCCGGCCGCCACCUGAUCCACCCCCUUCCUCGCGCUGGAUACACCCCUCGCCCCGCCACCUUCCACCAUGGCGCCGUCGGGGCCCGGGUCAUCCUCUCCCUCUCCGGCUGGGUGGCCCCGACGAGCAACUCGCUCCUGGAGCUACGGUCACCGGCGUUGGUGUGGCUCACCUGUGCUGGACGAGAAGCAAACUCCGCUCCCCACCAUCACCCACAUCAGGGGCACUGCCAUCGCCGGAUCCUGGCAUCCCCCGACCUUGCAGGAUGCGUCAACGGCAUCAACAUACCCUCCUCCGGCCAUUGAGCAUCCAAGAUCAACUGCACCCCGUCCUCCCGCCGGCGCCAUGCAGUCCAGUACGCGGGGGCACGCAGCACACCCCACCGUCGCCUUGCAGUCCAAAUUCCGGAUUUCUUGCUGUUGCGUUGCGUGCAGCGACAAGGAGAAGUCCGGAUUCAUCAGCCUCGCCUCCCGCUGCCUGAGCUAGUUCUACAACGAGCAGCUUCUAUCGCUCACUAUCCUCCCCCACAACGCAGUGUGGCAGGGCGGCGCUUGCAGUGCGGCACUCACAGCCGAGCAGCAAACCCACUGAAACCUAUGAGUACAUGAGGCCGACGAAUCCCUGCAGAAAACGGAAGAUCCUAUCCAUCAGUUCUUGCAUCUUUGUCAUGUUUUUCUAGUGAUUGCUCUGAUGAUCCGUUGUGCAAGAUAGGCUGAAGGCCCAACCUUCUUCGGUACGACGUCAACAGAGUACUCUUUGUGUUGAAACCAUGCCUUUUUUUGUUGUUGCGAAACACAAGUUUAUUAUAGUACUAGAAUCAUUAGCAACGAAUGUCUGGGAACUUGCUUUCAGUGAGAUAUAGGUUCUUUUUUCAAGGCGGAAACGACAGUUUACAAAAACCUACGAAAUUAGUAGAUUGCAAUGCUCAUUAUCUGAGACCACAAGUUAUCUUGUUUAGUUGCAUAAGGUGGAAGGAGAGAGUUUCCAAACUGCAUGCCAUGGUCAGGGCUCAUGUUUUAUACUUUGUAAUUGAGAAGUUAUCUUCAGGGCUCAUGUUUUAUACUUUGUAAUUGAGAAAAUGCAAAGAGGAAAUGAGAGUAAAAAAUGGAUGUGGAUGAA